AGGUCUGACCUGCCCAAUGAUUAUUUAAAUGGCCGCAGUAUUUUGACUGUGCAAAGGUAGCAUAAUCAUUAGUUUUUUAAUUGAAAGCUGGAAUGAAUGGUUUGAUGAAAAAAUAACUGUCUCAAUAAAAUUGAUUUAGAAUUUUAUUUUUUAGUAAAAAAGCUUAAAUUUUUUAUGAAGACGAGAAGACCCUAUAGAGUUUAAUAUUAAUAUUAAUAAUUUUUUUAGGUUGUUUUUACUUAAUUAUUAGUAUUAUUAUUUUGUUGGGGUGAUAUAAAAAUUUAAUUAACUUUUUAUUUUUAAAAACAUUAAUUUAUGAAUAUUUGAUCCUUAUUUUUUGGAUUAUAAGACUAAAUUACCUUAGGGAUAACAGCGUAAUUUUUUUUGAGAGUUCUUAUCGAUAAAGAAGUUUGCGA
rnacentral:rRNA from 1 species